rnacentral:rRNA from 1 species
GACGAACGCUGGCGGCGUGCCUAAUACAUGCAAGUUGAGCGCUGAAGGUUGGUACUUGUACCGACUGGAUGGGCAGCGAACGGGUGAGUAACGCGUGGGGAAUCUGCCUUUGAGCGGGGGACAACAUUUGGAAACGAAUGCUAAUACCGCAUAAAAACUUUAAACACAAGUUUUAAGUUUGAAAGAUGCAAUUGCAUCACUCAAAGAUGAUCCCGCGUUGUAUUAGCUAGUUGGUGAGGUAAAGGCUCACCAAGGCGAUGAUACAUAGCCGACCUGAGAGGGUGAUCGGCCACAUUGGGACUGAGACACGGCCCAAACUCCUACGGGAGGCAGCAGUAGGGAAUCUUCGGCAAUGGACGAAAGUCUGACCGAGCAACGCCGCGUGAGUGAAGAAGGGUUUCGGAUCGUAAAACUCUGUUGGUAGAGAAGAACGUUGGUGAGAGUGGAAAGCUCAUCAAGUGACGGUAACUACACAGAAAGGGACGGCUAACUACGUG